rnacentral:rRNA from 1 species
GGACGAACGCUGGCGGCGUGCCUAAUACAUGCAAGUCGAACGGUCUUUCUAUGGAAGCUUGCUUCCACUGAGAAGAUAGUGGCGAACGGGUGAGUAACACGUGGGUAACCUGCCCAUAAGAGGGGGAUAACAUCCGGAAACGGGUGCUAAUACCGCAUAGUUUUCUUGAUCGCAUGAUCGGGAAAGGAAAGACGGCCUUUGUGCUGUCGCUUAUGGAUGGACCCGCGGCGUAUUAGUUAGUUGGUGAGGUAACGGCUCACCAAGACGAUGAUACGUAGCCGACCUGAGAGGGUGAUCGGCCACAUUGGGACUGAGACACGGCCCAAACUCCUACGGGAGGCAGCAGUAGGGAAUCUUCCGCAAUGGACGAAAGUCUGACGGAGCAACGCCGCGUGAGUGAAGAAAAGGUUUUCGGAUCGUAAAACUCUGUUGUCAGAGAAGAACAAGUUGGAGAGUAACUGCUCCAGCCUUGACGGUAUCUGACCAGAAAGCCACGGCUAACUACGUGCCAGCCGCAGC